rnacentral:rRNA from 1 species
GUGGCCAAGAUGUUGAGGGCACACGGUGGAUGCCUGGGCACCAGGAGCCGAUGAAGGACGUGGGAGGCUGCGAUAAGCCUCGGGGAGCUGCCAACCGAGCGUUGAUCCGAGGGUGUCCGAAUGGGGGAACCCCGCACCAGUCAUGUGGUGUGACCCGCGCCUGAACACAUAGGGCGUGUGGAGGGAACGUGGGGAAGUGAAACAUCUCAGUACCCACAGGAAGAGAAAACAACCGUGAUUCCGUGAGUAGUGGCGAGCGAAAGCGGAUGAGGCUAAACCGAUCGCAUGUGACAGCCGGCAGGCGUUGUGUGGUCGGGGUCGUGGGACAGUCGUGCCACUCCUGCCGGGGUGGCGGGGAGUGAGAAAACGUACCUGGUUAGUGGAAGGCCUCUGGAAGGGGUCGCCGUAGAGGGUGAGAGCCCCGUACACGAAAACCGGUCGUCUCCCUGUUUCUGUAUCCCAAGUAGCACCGAGCCCGUGGAAUUCGGUGUGAAUCUGGCGGGACCACCCGCUAAGCCUGAAUACUCCCUGGUGACCGAUAGCGGACGAGUACCGUGAGGGAAAGGUGAAAAGUACCCCGGGAGGGGAGUGAAAUAGUACCUGAAACCGUGUGCCUACAAGCCGUCAGAGCUCAGAAUGCGCCCCUUGUGGGUGCGGGGUGAUGGCGUGCCUUUUGAAGAAUGAGCCUGCGAGUUAGCGGUACGUGGCGAGGUUAACCCGUGUGGGGUAGCCGUAGCGAGAGCGAGUCCGAACAGGGCGCAUCCAGUCGCGUGCUCUAGACCCGAAGCCGAGUGAUCUACCCAUGGCCAGGUUGAAGCGCGGGUAAGACCGCGUGGAGGACCGAACCCACCAGGGUUGAAAACCUGGGGGAUGAGCUGUGGGUAGGGGUGAAAGGCCAAUCAAACUCGGUGAUAGCUGGUUCUCCCCGAAAUGCAUUUAGGUGCAGCGUCGCGUGUUUCUUGCCGGAGGUAGAGCACUGGAUGGCCGAUGGGCCCCACAAGGUUACUGACGUCAACCAAACUCCGAAUGCCGGUAAGUGAGAGCGCGGCAGUGAGACUGCGGGCGAUAAGGUUCGUAGUCGAGAGGGAAACAGCCCAGAUCAUCGGCUAAGGCCCCUAAGCGUGUGCUAAGUGGAAAAGGAUGUGGGAUCGCAGUGACAACCAGGAGGUUGGCUUAGAAGCAGCCAUCCUUGAAAGAGUGCGUAAUAGCUCACUGGUCAAGUGGUUCCGCGCCGACAAUGUAGCGGGGCUCAAGCACACCGCCGAAGCCGUGGCACUUCGUCUUCACGCCCGCCGUCGCCGUUCGCGGUGCCGGCCAGGUGACGAGGUGGGUAGGGGAGCGUCGUGUGGCGGGUGAAGCGGCGGAGGAAUCCAGCCGUGGACGCCACGCGAGUGAGAAUGCAGGCAUGAGUAGCGAGAGGGGAGUGAGAAACUCCCC